rnacentral:rRNA from 1 species
UACAGAGGUCUCAAGCGUUGUUCGGAUUCAUUGGGCGUAAAGGGUGCGUAGGCGGCGCGGUAAGUCGGGGGUGAAAUCCUGGAGCUCAACUCCAGAACUGCCUUCGAUACUGGCGAUCUUGAGUCCGGGAGAGGUGAGUGGAACUCCGAGUGUAGAGGUGAAAUUCGUAGAUAUUCGGAAGAACACCAGUGGCGAAGGCGGCUCACUGGGUCAUUACUGACGCUGAGGCACGAAAGCGUGGGGAAGCAAACAGGG